AACAUGAACAUGGGCCACUGGGUCUUCUCCUCAGAGGAAGUGCUCUGGUUGUAGACACAAGACAUGACCUUGUUUCCUAGGCAACCUGUCCAAAAAGAACUUGGAAUCCUCAUGAACACGAGUCACAAUAGAGUGACGGAUACGUCCUGAGCUCACUUGUUUAGAGACGGUGAACAGCAAAUAUGCUGAGCUGCUUCUCAACUUUUCAAGGCAAGAGCCAGAGGACUUCAGGCAGAGAAAGUUUCUUUCAAAGAUGGAGAAAAUGGUAAACUCUCCCCAGGCAUGUAAGGCUACACUGCAAGAGCCGCUCAACGAAAACCCAGGCCAGAUCUCCCCAGCUGUGACCACCAUGAGCCAUGAGCCACCAAGGAGCCUGGGCUCACCUGCCCUAAAUAGGAAGGUUCCAGAAAGCCCAGGAAAUGUCACCGCAGGCCCUGGCAUGAAGUACCCUGAGACACUAAAGGGUCAAGGGGUCUCCUCAGACCCAGCUUCUAAGCACCAAAGGGCUCCAAGGGACCUAGGGAAGAUGUGCCAGGGAUCUGCCACCAGGUACCAAAAUCCAGCAAAGAUCCCAGGACAGGUCUCCUCAGGCCUGAACGCCAGUCACAGGGAAACACUGGGGAACCCGAGAAAAGUCUCCUUAGGCCCAAUUCAUCAGGACACAAAGACACCAAGGAGACCAAGGCAGGUCUCUCAAGGCCCAGCCACCCAGUCCUCAGAGAUACCACCUAGCACUGGGCAGGUGUGCCCACACCUGACAACCAGAAGCCCAGAAACUGCAAGAGGCCCCAAGUGUGACACUGAGGGCCCAGGCAAAAAUAGCCCAGAGUCACUGAGGAGAGUGGGGGAAGGUUACCCAUGGAAGGUCUUCCCUAUCAUAGUCAAAUCAGAUCCACAAAUAACUGGGAGCCUACCUAAAGACUGGGAGAUCUUGCCAAAGAAGAUCUUCCCUGGCACAGCCAUGGGUCACCUACAAAUACCUAGAGGCCCAGGAGAGGUCUUCCCAGAGGAGAUUUUCCCGAGCCUGGCCAUGAAGAACCCAGAAAGACACAGGAGCCCAGGAGAGGUCUUCCCAGAGGAGAUUUUCCCGAGCCUGGCCAUGAGGAACCCAGAAAGACACAGGAGCCCAGGAGAGGUCUUCCCAGAGGAGAUUUUCCCGAGCCUGGCCAUGAGGAACCCAGAAAGACACAGGAGCCCAGGAGAGGUCUUCCCAGAGGAGAUUUUCCCGAGCCUGGCCAUGAGGAACCCAGAAAGACCCAGGAGCCCAGGAGAGGUCUUCCCAGAGGAGAUUUUCCCGAGCCUGGCCAUGAGAAAUCCAGAAAGACCCAGGAGCCCAGGCGAGGUCUUCCCAGAGGAGAUUUUCCUGAGCCUGGCCAUGAGAAAUGCCUAGAUCACAGGCUGUUCUGGUGAUGAGGCUCCUGGUGAGUCUGCAUAUGCUUCUUGCACCAGAAACUCUGCAAGAUGUUGGAGGUAAAAAGAGCAUAUAUUCAGGAGGAAAUUCACUAAUCAUUUCUCUGCCAAUUCUUAUAUAUUUUCCACGAUUAAGGAUGAUUAAGGAUAAUUAAGUAUCCUACAAUGACAGGAAUGUUAACCAUAUCACUGAAGCAGUAUGUCACUAAGAAAGACAUUUUGUUUCUCAGGACCUCAUACUAUAUAAAAUGACUACGCUGAUAGCCUUAGAUACUUUUCAGCUCUAAGAUCAAUGCUACUAUUCUGACUGGAACACAAGUUAAUCAACCGUUGAAGCUCAUUUCAUUAGUGAGUCACUAUUUCCAAAAAGAUUUAGACACAGUCACAUUGUUCAAAGUCUAAUCAUCCUUUGUGGCAUCAUUUUUCUCUGGUGUAUUUUGUGGAACAUUCAUUACUCUACCAUGGAAUGUGCCCAAUCCAUGGUAUAAAUUAUACGAUACUUUUAGAUGGCUGAAUGUGUAAUAUAAAAUCAUGACUCAAAUUCCGGGUUGGACUGACAGUAUGUAACUAAAUACAGGCCUUGUAAUUUUACACAAACCUAAAAAGUAAACAUAAACACAACACCUGUAAUGGAAGAAGAGUUUCCACACAAGUAGAAUAAGGCCUAUAAAUUUUCAGAACUUGUUAACAGCACAACUUUUUUUUCCCCACAUAAAAGAUUUACAUGGA